rnacentral:tRNA from 1 species
GGUUUGGUAGCUCAGAUGGUAGAAGCGUUGGACUGAAAAUCCAAAGGUCAGAGGUUCGAAUCCUCUUCAUUCCA